rnacentral:rRNA from 1 species
AUUGAACGCUGGCGGCAGGCCUAACACAUGCAAGUCGAGCGGAUGAAGGGAGCUUGCUCCUGGAUUCAGCGGCGGACUGGUGAGUAAUGCCUAGGAAUCUGCCUGGUAGUGUGGGAUAACGUCCGGACACGGGCGCUAAUACCGCAUACGUCCUGAGGGAGAAAGUGGGGGAUCUUCGGACCUCACGCUCUCAGAUGAGCCUAGGUCGGAUUAGCUAGUUGGUGGGGUAAAGGCCUACCAAGGCGACGAUCCGUAACUGGUCUGAGAGGAUGAUCAGUCACACUGGAACUGAGACACGGUCCAGACUCCUACGGGAGGCAGCAGUGGGGAAUAUUGGACAAUGGGCGAAAGCCUGAUCCAGCCAUGCCGCGUGUGUGAAGAAGGUCUUCGGAUUGUAAAGCACUUUAAGUUGGGAGGAAGGGCAGUAAGUUAAUACCUUGCUGUUUUGACGUUACCAACAGAAUAAGCACCGGCUAACUUCGUG